ensembl:lncRNA
AAGAAAGAUUAUGAUACAAAUUCAAGAGUAUCAGCAUCUUAAAAGCAAGCUAUCAGUGUGCAUGCUCUUUCCCUUGUACUGUCCUUUUUCAUAGAUUUAGGCUCUUACUCUAUGUUUUGUACAGAUCUUGCCCCAUUCUCCAUUUCAUCAUUAGCAAACAGAUCAGCUCUGAAGGCAUUGAACUCCCAAGCCCUCCUUCAUCCAUGUCAGAAUAUUGAAGGGCCAAUUCUUGUUCAGACCUAGGGAAAACAUCCACACCUCCUAGGAUUAGCAUGGGAGUACUACAGCGACCCAGCUUUAGCCUGGGACAGAACACUGGGAACUUGAAAUGCCUGAGUGUACAGCACAAGAAUGUGAGAUUGGUAACUUAGUGACGUGAACUUCUUGGACAUGGUGAACUGGAUACACUGUAAUGGAAGGAGAAAUUAACUCCUAUCUCCUAUCAUAUAUAUUAAAUCAAUAUAUAUGUCAAGCACCUUUUGUAUGCAAAUACAAACACACAAAUACACACACUGAACUACAUAGCUAUAUAUACACGCAAAGACUAGAAAAUGAGCAAACUGGGUAUCAAACGUAAAAAUAUUUAGGCACCAGUCAUUAAGACAGCAAGAGGGAAGAGUAAGUUUAACCCAAUAUAGAACUGUUCACAUUGAUUUAACACUAUAGAAACGCUAGAAGAAAACAUCACUAACCGUCAGACAUUUGUUCUUUACUCAGAAGAUUAUUAUUUACAAGAGAAUAGCAGCUAUAUUUGGAAAUAUUUAAUUCCUAUUUGGAAAUAUUUAAUUCACAUAAACUUUGAGUUACAUCACAAAUUAGGGAUAUAGGUCGAAUAUAGAGCACCUGCCUAGCUCAUGCACAAGGCCUAGGUUCAAUCCUUGAUACUACAAAAUUUUUCCAUCUUAAUUACUGCUUGGAGCUUUUAAAUUAUCAAAGUACUGCUCUACCAAUUUUUAUGGGAAAUAUAGCUAACAUCUUCUAGUUAGUUUAAAUUACUUCAUUAUAAGACACUUUACCCAAACUUCUUCACCAAAUGAUUAGUAUGUGUCAGAAAUUAUAAGCAUGCAAGAACCAGGGUCUGUGGUGUAGUUCAGUGGUAUUUUGCUCGCCUUUUGGGCACAGGAGUUUGAUCCCUGAAGCAGAGUGUAGGAGAAGAUAUUAGGGGUAGGUUAUAGAAGAAAACAAAC